rnacentral:lncRNA from 1 species
AGACUCUCGAGCGCCGGCCCCAGGAUGACAAUCACAUCCCAGGAGCGCCGAUCUCUUCCAACUUUCCUCUUCUGCUAACUCGGGGCGGAGUGGCAGUCCCGCCGCCCCGAAGCACAAAGGGAACGAGGCCGCGGGCUGUGCGCCGGCGAACGCUCUGCGCUCUCCUAGCCACAGUAGAUCGCGGACUUAGCGGAUUUCUUGUUCUCCGGCAGGCUGGGCUCCGAGGCCAUUCGUUGCCCACCCCCCUCUGGCGUCUUCCCCAAGCCAGGGGGCCCGGAGAGCCAGCUGGAGAUCCGGAAUGAAAGUCUCUGGGAGAGCCGAUGGAUGGCCCGCGCCCAGGGCGCAGGAAGUCCGGGAUGACUGCCCCUCUGCGCCGGCAGCAGCAGGUGGGCGAGAGACAGGCCUCAGACGUCUGCACGUCUCCGCCUCGCCUUCCUUCUACCGACCCCCCGCCGGACGGCGAGGGAGAAGACACUGGUUCCUGGAACUACCGGGGUAGCCUUUUUCUAGAGUAGGGGUGGUGGGCAAGAACUGCCAGACAGAGAAUCAGCUACACCCGAGGAGAUCUCGGGACCGUCCCCAGCUCCACUCCCACGCCUCGCAGCCUCUUUCUCCCGGUUUUCCCACCGCACGCAGCUCGCACCGCCAAGUCGGUGGUGGUGGAGGGUGCGGGUCCCCUUCCCUUUUGUUUAACUAAGUCGCCUUCCCCUUCGCACGCACUCUCGCAUCCGCCCACGCUCCACUGCAAACACUGGGCAGAGCAGUGCCCAACCCAACCACUGUUUGUUCAGCGAGGCGCUGGCGAAGCAAACACACACAACUGAGUCAGAGGCAGAGCCCUUGCCCACGACGGCCACACAGUUAGAAUACAAAACAGACCCUCUCCUCUUCUCUCCACCUCCCGCCACCACAAGCCACGGACGCACUCGAACUCUGGGACAGACAGGGGCGCUGGUGAACCAGGACAGAAGAUGGCACAGGUUUGGGCACGCCGCGGAAGCUCGGGAUAUCGGGAACUUCGCAUAAUGGGGCCACACGCAAGCCGAAGCAUAACUAUAUACAAAGUUUCUCGCAUUGACUUUGACGGGCGAGAUGUACUUUAUUUCGCGAUCUCACACUAACCCAGCGCCGCACCGGCACCCGCUCGGUGCUGCGCUCUCGUGCACGCGCGUUGGCUCCUCCCCUCCGUCUGCUCCCCUCCCCCAGACACCGCCCACCAAGAGGCCUGAGCGGUUCAGACUACAUUCUCCGAGAGCCCCUGGGUCCGCCCAGCCCAGUGCCUGACACCUCCUUCACCUAUGAUUGGGCGCUGGCCUCCCUGGGCUCCGCCCCCUGGUGACGUAACCCCGCUUUCCUCCGAGUCUCGGCGCCAGAGGGGCGGGGAGGGGCGGGGUCUCGAUCGCGCUAUUGUCAUGGAGACGGGAAGCUGGCUGCAGCGGCGGCGGGGACCGUGGGGCCGAGGUGGCUGCCAGCCGGCCAAUGUCUAAGCGAGGCGGAGCGGCCCAGGCGGCCCGAGCCUGGGGGAGCGCGCAGCCGGCCAGUGGCGGCCUCGCCGGCGGCCUCUUCCCGGGCUCGCAGUAGGCCCGAGUCGUCGCCGGGAGCUCCUGGGAGCAGCGUCCCCGCCCUGCUCCCCUCGCUCCCGCCUCUUGCGGCCCCACGGCCCCUCAGCGCCCGCCCCCGGCUCCGCCCGCCGCAGCCGCAGCCCCUGGCGCUAACGGUCGGUAACGGCCCGCGCGCGCCGCCCGCCGGGGGCUCGCGCCAGCCACGAGGGAGCGUCCGCGGCCCGCGCGCCCGCGCGGCGGAGGAGAGGUGAGCCCCCGCCCGGGCCAGGCCCUCUGGCCGCGCCGUCCGCCCCUCUAGUCGUGUCCCCUCGUGGGCCGAACGGACGCGGCGGUGCCCCGCGCCCGACCAGACGUCCCGUGGGCUAGGGCCUGGGCCUCGGGCCGCGUCGGCGCCGGUCGAGCCUCUCCGGGUGUCGGGGUUCGGGGCGGGCGCGCGUGGGCGUGGCUCCUCUGUCCACGCCUGUUCCCUUCGUCGCCGCGGCUCUCGUCCGGGACACGGCUUUCCGGAGUAGAGCCCUUGGAGGUGUUAAGUGUGAUGCUUCCAUAAUACAUUUGGAUGCUGUCAGCUAAGUUCACUUCUGAACUAAGGGGUUCCUCCAAAUGUUGGCUGAAAUUCAUCCCAAGGCUGGUCUGCAAAGUCUGCAAUUCAUAAUGGAGCUACUGUACUGGCUAUUGGAAGGAGGAGAUUCUGAAGAUAAGGAGGUAAUAUUAUCUCUUUUAAAAGAAUACUUUCCUCUGUAAUCCUGAAUCUUUAUUACAUGUAAGAACUUUGUGCAGUAGACAGCAAUUUCUUUGAAUUUGGUAUAUGGAAACAAUUUUAUUUUCCUCUGCUAAGUUUUUGAGCCUGCCUCUUCUAGUGCCAUGGACUGCAUUGGUAGAGCUGAGAAAUAUCAUUUAGCCAUACUCAGCACCCUUAAAAUAGCUUCUUUCUGAGAAUUAGAUCUGUGAAGGUGUCCUGCACAGUUCUUGUAGAUGUCAUUUUAGUUUGUGGUUGACGUGCAUGCAUUUAGCAUGUUGCUUAACCGUCCUCAUUCGCCUCCCAGUUCUUUGUUGCCUUCAUUUGGGGGGAUGUGUUUUCUGCUGGAUGAUUUACUGCUAGACAUGACCAAACUCUGAGUAUAAGACUUGGUGUUUGGCAGCUGGUUCCAGUGCUCUGCUGAGAAGUAGUUGGGCCCAGCCUGGGGCAUUGUAGUGUCCUGGAGGCCGGGAGCUCCUGCACAGGGGUUCUUUUCCUGGUUCAGAGCCUUAGGUGCCUUUCCACUUUUCACGUAAUCUUUUCCUAGGUUGGCUUGCUGCUUACUUUGCAGCUGUUGCAGGGAUUCACAUGGAAUGGAGGGCUCCCUUUUAUUGUGGAUUAUUUCUUUGAUAAUUUACCCAUGUGCUUUUUCAUUUUCAAAAACCCAGUGGUGUUUAAGAAUGAAAGAUUCUUGAAGAACAAAAAUUGGGUUAAAUUUGUAUCUAUCAGAAAAGAUUCUAUCCUCUGAUGCUAUGUAGGCACAUUGAAUAUGCAGGCUAAAUUAAAAACAGAGUAAAACCUUUUUAUAAUAUGCCAAUUACUAUAUCUAAGAAUGUUUAUACAGGCUGAAAUUUUGUAAUGGUAUUUAUAUCUGUUUUCCUUUUUAAGGAAAAUAAUAUACUUUUCUAGGCAUCAAAAAUAUCUGCCCCUUUCACUAAUGCUGAUGUACCACCUUCCCCCAACCCCCAACGCUAAAUUUGACUGGCUUAAAAACAUCUGCCCCCUGAACUAUAUCUGGGGAGGAAUAUUAAUAAAACAAUGAAGGACUUCAUGGUGUCUAGUUAUAUAAUUAGGAAAUUGGUUAGAAACGUGGCUAAAACCAGUUUCUUUCAUUAAAAGAACUAGUGUACAUUUAAAAACAAAAACCUUCAGGAAAAAGACUCUUUGAUCUUUAAGUCAAAUAGUAUUUUUGGUUAACACAGCAGGAAGGGGAAAUAUACCAAUUUCAGAUUCUUUUAUUUAUGCCUAAGUAGAGGUUGUAAGCAGCUAAGGAAGUGAUUAAAAUGUAGUCUAGUAAAAAAUGGUGCUGAUUACUUGGAAAGCAGUUUACAUUUGCAAAAAAAUUCAGUAUUAUGACCUUCACCAACUUUUACACAUCAUAUACUUGGGUUAUUACUUAUGGUAUAGCUUGUGUAUGGAAUGCAAGGGUAUUUUCAAAUUGACUAGGUCUUGCUGGUCAUCUUAAAAUAUGUUACAAUAUUACAAAAUUGAAAUGUAAUAUUUUUUAAUAGAAGGAAAAUAUAAAUUUAAUAUCUGGGCAAUUGAGACCUUUAAACUUACUUUAAAAGUAUGAUCUUGAUGUAUAUGAUACUGUUUUGUCUUUGCUAUAUUAACAGAAUUAGAGGGGUGUUCUGCAAUUCAAAUACCUUAUAUAUUCCAAAUUUUAUUCUCUAUAAUGGACUUUUAAAAUAAAAGGUAUAUGUGCUUCAAGAGGGCAAAAUUUGAAUCAUGAGCUAAUUUGCUAAGCAUCAGAUUAUAGAAAAGCAUCCUUGAUUAAUUUGGAACUGUGAAAGGGGGCGGGUAAAACUGUUUUCUGCAGAAAUUUACUAGUGCAGCAACCAUUUAAAUUAAAUGUUUGUUAACAUAAUAGUGAUGGCAUUUUCUCCUCCCCCUCCUUGUGGUUUUGUCCAACUAGAUGUUACAGUGGCAGUUGCACUGACUGUUAAGUGUUUAAAUGAUGACACCAUUAUGUGAAGUGAUUUUGAAAUGAGAGAUUCCAGCCAAGAAUUACAUCUGCUCCCAUCUCCUUCAAAUCAUACUCUCUGGCAGUACAGAUUAUGAUUGAUUUGUUUGUGACAGAUUGCAGGAAACAGUCAUUGAUUUUUCAAUAUUUUACCUUAAAAUUAUUUACAGUUGUAACCAUGGGGAGGUAUUUUCAUGGGCUGUCAGCCCCUGAAAGACUAGGAUAAUAUUCCCUGCUCUCUGACAAGACAAAUUACCUGUAAUGAGUGCAGUAGCUGAAGGGUAUACUUUUAUUUUAAAAUAUGUCAAUAACCCCAGUGACUAAACGAAUAUUGAUUUAGCAUAAUGAAGCCUGAGUAACGUGAAAAUGAGCUUUUUCAAGGGGCAUGGUAAAGUCUUUCUUUUUAGCUGGUUGUAAGAAGCUUUUGAUUCUUUUCAGCCAGCUGGUAGGAAUAUAGAAUUUUAUAAGCAAACCAUCAGGAAUGAUAGUGUUGUUUCUGAUAAGCAACAUCCAAAUAUUUUGACCCUGCUUUUAGUGGUUUUUUUCAAAUCUUAUUUUGAGUCUUACUUUUAGUCAUAGAAUAGCUACUGAUUUGAUGCGGUCUUUAACUGACUUAAUAUUUUUACAAUUUCAAUAUAUUUUGCAUUGGAAUCUCCAGUAAUGAAUAUUAAAAUAUAUGUACAAUCAUUUGUAGAUGAUAUCAAUUAUAUUAAGACAUUUCAGAUGGGCUAUUGUAGUAUUUAAUGUGCCGUAUUUUAUGGUAGAAUAAUUCUCAGUCUCUGGACAUCAAGAUUGCUUUCAGUGGGAAUGAAGAUUAAUUUACUUCAGUCCUGAUUUUUUAGGCAUCAAUGCAUGUUUUCAUUUUUGUCAGACUUUUACCCUCUUUUAAUGUAAUUCUCAACUUCUUAUGGAUUUACUUCCCAAUACAUAAAAUCCUUCAAAACAAGAAUGAUAAUAAUUUUUAUACUUUUUAUAAAAAUAAAUUUAUUUUUAGUCCAUCAAGGUGUCUGAAGAUUUUAUGCCUAGGUAUCUCCAUAUCUAACUUGAUAAGGAAAAUAGGAUAAACAAUGCUGGUAAUAGCAGGAAAGUAAGUAUUUGAAUAAGAUGUCAAACUGAUAUUUCAUGUGAACCUAACUCAUUUUAUGGUAACUAAUAAUUAUCUUAUUUAAAUCAAUAGGUAAAACCUGUUUAGAAAUUAAAAAUGAGUUACGAUUUAAAGAAAAUUCAGAUGACUCAUUGUGAGUGCUAGUUCUCUUGUAGGAUGCCACUGGAAAUGUUGAAAUGAAAAAUAUUCAGCCGUUGGUCUUUGAAAUUUCCUGUGAUGUGUUUCAAUCUAGAUGCAAAGAACAUGGAAAAAUCAAAGUGCUCGAGUGGUUUAAAUAUGUUUUGGGUAUUCCUGUUUAUAGACUAUAAUACUUUUCCAAUUAAAAUCCUCAGUUGUCACGCAGAAGAAGGUUAAGCUGUAUUUGAUUGCCAGUUUUACUGAAAAUGCUUAGUAUUUUACAGUAUCACCAAAUAUAUUUUGUUUAGCCAAGGUAUAGGAAAAAUAAAAUAAAUUGUAUAGGUUGACUUUUUUCUAAAAUGUCUUUAUUGGAUUGAAUGAAUGUUUAUACCUGAAAAAAAAAGGUUCAAAAAAAUUCCUUUUUCUAUCAGAGUCAUUCUUUUGACAAUCAGAUAUUAGACUAGGUUUAAAAUAACUUUCUAAUAUGACUCAUAUUUAUGGGAGGAAAAAGACUUGAAAGAUAUUCCUAUGUGUACUUUAAUUUUCUGUAAUAGUCCCUCUGGAAUAGAAUAUCUCUUCCUCAAACAAAUCUAUUGGCUCAUUUCAUAUACAAGAAAAAGUUGCCCUAAAUGGCAGAGUUUCAUCUCUGUAAAGAAGGCUGACAUCCACUUCCUUCACAGAAUCCCUGCAUUUGGGUAAUUGAGUAAUGAUAGAUUACCUUGCCAUUGGGAAAUACCUUGUUGUGGCCUUUGUAGCAGCUAUAGGAAGAUGGAAGAAUUCUUUUGUAUAGACAGGUCUCUAGCCUCUUUGGUGUGGACACUGUGAAGGGGUACAUCUGGUGAGAAGGAGUGCUUAGGGAAGGAACUGGGAAGGUCCACAAAGGCUGAUGAUGACAAAGAAUCCAAGGGCUAUGAUGAAUUCUUAAGCUUAGAUCUCAGAGUCAUAAAGUAAAUUUAUUAGGCUAGAGAGAUUUCCUUUUUUAUUUUUGAUCAAACUUUAUUUUUUCAGAUUGUUAAGUUCACAUGCAGUUGUACAAAAUAAUACAGAGAUCUUUGAACACUACCCAGUUUCUCCUAAUAGUAACUUCUUGCAAUAUACUGUAUAGCACAGCAUCACAACCUGGAUACUGACAUUGAUGCAGUCAAGACAGAGAACAUUUAUAUCAUGAGGAGGAUCCCUCAUUACCGCCCUUUGAUAUCCACCCCUACUUCCAGACCAUCUCACUCCUCCCUUAACCCUGGCAACCACUAGCAUGUUCUCCAUUUCUAUAAAUUUGCCUUUAUAGGAAUGUUAUAUAAUUGCAAUUAAAGUGUGUAACCUUUUGGGGUUUGACUCACCCGGCAUCAUUUUCUGGAGAUUCAGCUUAUAUGUGUCAAUAGUUUGUUCCCUUUUUUUUAGUUCAGUAGUAUUCUGUGGUACGUGUGUACCACAUCACUCAUCAAUUCGGACUUCUGGGUUGUAUCUGGUAUUUGAUUAUUACAAAUAGAAGUACUAUAUAUAUAUUCGUGUAGAGGUUUCUGUGUGAACAUAAACUUUCAUUUUCCUGGGACAGAUGCCCACGAGUGAAAAUUGUGAGUCAUAUGGUAAUUAUGUAGAGUAUUUUUUUUUUGAGACGAUUUGUUUAUGAUUUUAAAACAUAAAAAUAUAAGUUGUAGCCAAAUAUAAGGAAGGAUUUUUCCACAAUCUAGACUUUAUUCUUAUUUUAGAGAAAUACUUUUGAAAAAAUUGCUUUAUUGGCAAACAAUUCCUAUGUAAAGGAAUAAAAGACGCAUAUACUCUAGGAAAGAUGUUGCAAAGCUGACAGGCAACUUUGAGAAAGAUGAGGGCAGUUUUCCAGUGUUACUGGAGACUUGACAUUCAAGGAUGUAUUAUGAUAGUUUCUGAAUUGAUAGAUUCUUUAGCGUUUGUCACUACCCUCAGGCCUGCAGUUUUUAUUUGUAGAAUUAACUCAUCUUUACAAUGCUUUGUUGAGUGCUGUUGCAGAAAAUGCUCAUGUAAUUCAAUUAUAUGCAGUUAGGAAAAAGAAGUAUCUUUUUCUAGUACAUGGCCCCUAAAAUGAUGACUUUCCACAAUGCUGAAUGGAGGAAACAGCUCUGUUUCCAUCAAACUCUGGUGGAAAUUAUACAAAGUUAUAUUAUGCUUUAUGAGACAUAGUGAGGUAGUACACAACCAUAUAUGCUAUAUUAUUGGGGAGACCCACUGAAAGAAUUUUCAAGGAUAAUUUUUGCUCUGAUUUUCUAUCAUGUAUAUUGACUUUAUUGAUUGAUUGAUUGAGAUGGAGUCUCACCCCGUCACCCAGGCUGAAGUGCAGUGGUGCAAUCUCUGCUCACUGCAACCUCCGCCUCUCAGGUUCAAGUGAUCCUCGUGCCUCAGCCUCCCGAGUAGCUGAGACUAUAGGUGUGUGCUACGAUGCCCAGCUAAUUUUUGUAUUUUUAGUAGAGACAGGAUUUGGUAGCCUGGUCUCGAACUCCUGACCUCAGGUGAUCUACCCACCUUGGCCUCCCAAAAUACUGGGAUUACAGGUGUGAGCCACCGUGCUGGCCAAGUAUAUUGACUUUAAAACGUUACCGGCUGGGCGUGGUGGUUCACGCCUGUUAUCCCAGCACUUUGGGAGCCCGAGGCGGAUGGAUUACCUGAAGUCAGGAGUUCGAGACCAGCCCAACCUGGUGAAACCCCGUCUCUACUAAAAAUACACAAAUUAGCCGGGCGUGGUGGCAGGCGCCUAUAAUCCCAACUACUGGGAAGGCUGAGGCAGGAGAAUUGCUUGAACCUGGCAGGCGGAGGCUGCAGUGAGCCAAGACUGCGCCACUGCACUCCAGCCUGGGCAACAAGAGCAAAACUCAGUCUCAAAAAAAACAGAAAAAAAAAGUUACCACGGGUGAAACAUUGGGCUGGUCACAGUGAUCCUUCUAACAGCAGUCAAUAUUAUAAAUCUAGCUUUUUUUUUUGAGUGAGAUACUAGGCCCAGGGAACCCGAGUCUUUCAAUCCUCAUGAAUAUAGUUUAAUCUUUAGCUCAUUAUGGUCAUGACCAUAGUUAAAUAAAUGACACGAGAUAAUAAAAUAGUCUUUGCCCUUAAAACUGACCUGGGUAAAAGGAUGUACACUUGAAUCUUUGAAUACCAGAAUAGUCAUUCAUUCAUUGAGCCGUGUUGUAGCAUCCCAUCUUCUGGCACUUCCAGCACUGGGAACCCAUCAUAAAGAAGGCACUACAGGCCAGGCGCUGUGGCUCACGCCUGUAAUCCCAGCACUUUGGGAGGCCAAGGCAGGCGGAUCACCUGAGGUCAGGAGUUCGAGACCAGCCUGGCCAACAUGGUGAAACCCCAUCUCUACUAAAAAUACAAAAAGUAACUGGGCAUGGUGGCAGGCGCCUGUAAUCCCAGCUACUUGGGAGGGUAAGGCCAGAGCAUCGCUUGAACCCGGAAGGCAGAGGUUGCAGUGAGCCAAGAUCCUGCCAUUGCACUCCAGCCUGGGGGAUAAGAGCGAGACUUCGUCUAAAAAAAAUAAAAAUAAAAAGGCACUACAGCACCUGUUCUCUUAGUGUAGCUCUAUUAGCUCUUAGACUAGGGGGUAGGGAUGGGAAAAAGUAAAAAGAAACUGAGAAACCAAUCUAAUUACGCAUAAUCAGAAAUCCAAAGCUUCCAGAAUUCAUGAGGAAAAAGAACUGCAGCUGAUGGAGUAGGCAUUACAGAGAAUGAGAGGCUUGCUUUUUUUUUAAGUUUCAUUUUAUUUGUAAUUGACACAAUAGCACAUAUUUACGGGAUACAGUGUGACAUUUUAAUACAUUUACAUAUUGUGUAAUGAUCAAAUUAGGAUAAUUAGCUUAUGUAUCACUUCAAAAACAUAAUUUCUUUGUGAUGAGAACAUUCAAAAUCUUCUAGUAUUUUGAAAUACAUAAUGCAAUAUUGUUAACCACAAUCACCCUACUGUGCAAUAGAACACCAGAGUUUACUCCUCUUUUCCAUCUGUAGCUUCAGACCCAUUGACCAAUCUCUCCCCUUCGCCCCCCACCACCCCCCCCCCCGCCGUCACCACUCUCCUCCCCUCCCCAGCAAGAGGCUUGAAUCUUGAAGGAGCACAUCAGAUAGAAAGAGGGAAAUCAACUGGGACAUGGUUUGUUGGAAGUGGGGUGGAAUCUGGUUUGUUUACAGUUUCAGAGUUUGAGGCAUCAAAAGUGUAUGUCAUUGCCCAAAAGUAUUUAACAGCUUUCUAUGUUUUAGGAAUUCACUAGAAAUAAGGCAUGCUUUUUAAAAAAGAAAAAAAAUAGUAAUCUUUGAAUUUAAAUAUGUGGGUUUCCAUGAAAAACAAAUGAGUACCCUUCCUUGAAAAACUACUACUUUGAAGAGUCUCGUAGGUUCUGAGGCUCGUGUGUGUGUGUGGGUGUGUGUGUAUAAAACAUUUUCUUUUAUAUUUGGUAAGAAGGAAUAAGGUAUUUUAUACUUUUCUGGUCUGUUAAAUGCAUAAUCUAUAAGACUAUAAUACUUUAAAAAAUUUUAGUUUAUCUGAGGCUUAAAAUAACAAAAGAACUUAAAGCUCCUGUGGAAGAGCUCCAAAAUUAAAACUGUAAGAUCACAUAUAGAUAAAACGUUAUAUAAAGCAGGCUUUGGGACCCCAGGCAUGAUGGCUCAUUCCUGUAAUCCCAGCACUUUGGGAGGCCAAGGUGGGUGGAUCACCUGAACCCAAAAGUUCGAGACCAGCCUGAGCAACAUGGUGAAACCCUGUCUCUACAAAAUACAGAAAAAAAAAAUAUUAACCAAUUUUUUUAACCUCCCAGCUACUUGGGAGGCUGAGAUGGGAGGAUGGCUUGAGCCUGGGGAGGUCGCGGCUGCAAUGAGUCAUGAUCGCGCCACUGCACUCCAGCCUGGGUAAUAGAUUGAAACUCUGUCUCCACACACACACACACAAAUGACUUUUGGUAAGACUGUACAUAGAGUUUAUGGCCUUAUUAAGAAACUCUUUUGAGCAACCUAAGAAAACACAAGUAUUUCUGUACAUUACUUUGUUAAAGUGUACAGGAUAAUAAGAGAGAGCUAAGAGCCUUUUCUAAAUGUGCAUCCAAUUUUAAGAGGCUAAAAUAGGAAGCUUUCAUAUAGCCAAGGCCCCAUUAACUUGGGAAUCUGGAAAACAGAAGACGUAAGUUUCUAUCAGAGUUUCUUUAAAUUUAUGUAAAUCAUAAAUUUGAGCAAGGCAGUUAUAAAAGACAUUAAAAUUAAGAUACUCAGGAUUUUAUAUGUAAUAAUAUUGAUUCCAAUAUCUUCAACACUAUGGCAUUGCCAAUGAGGAGACCAAAAUGAAUUGUAUUUUAUGAAAGGGCUAUAUUAGACCAGUGACUUAAAAGUUCCAAGUACAUAUAAUGACAAAGCGUUGUGGAAUCAUCUUGUACUACUGUUUAUGUAGUAGUUUAAAAAAAAAAAGAAAAAGAAAAUGGUGCAAUUUUAGACAGUUUAAAAAAAUUUUACAAAUACUGCAAAUCAUAGGUUGGUUACCACUAGACUUCCUGACUGCAGUGGUUGCUGUAUUCACUGUACAUUCUUUUAAAACACCAGGCACUUUAUAAUUUUGUCUAUAAUUGUUUAUAUAUUUUUUCUUCACAACAUGUUUUAGAAUAACUUAUUGCUAAGUUACUUCAACGUAUGUGCCAUCUUUAAACUUUAUAUAUGAGUAUACUAAAGUGUCAUUUGCAAGACACAUCUAUGCACUAUUUUUUUUUUCAGGAGCCUCUUUAUUCAAAAUACUUUUAAAUGCAGUGCAUAAAAAUAGCAGGCCACUUCCACUUGCAGGCUUUUGAAGCUGGAGAAGACUUGUUUUUCACAUGAGGAAACUGAGUCCCAGCAAGGUGAAAUGACUUGCUAGUAAGUGAUACGAUUAAACUUAUUUUUUGACUCCAAAGCACAUUCUGCCAACUUGAAGAUGCUUGUCCCAACUUCUGGAAAUUCACCCUAUCAACGUCUGUAUCACAACCCCAUUCUUAAUAAUAGUUUCUUCACAUUAGAAAUAAAUGUCAGAAAUAAAUGUCUACUUGUCAUUUGUACAUGUCAUGCAAACAUCUUGGCACCAGAUAUGGGUACAAGUAGAAAGCAUCAGCGUGUUCAUCUAAGAACUGGAUUUUAUCCAAUGGAAUGUUCUGUUUAUUCAUUGCUAUUCAUGCAUACCUGCUGUGUUUUAACGUUGUGAUAAAUCCAGAGAAUCAAAUAUGAAUAAAAAUACUCCCUGAAUUCAACAAAGUAGGCAUUGGCUCUGGCCAGGGGACAAAAUGUUAAAUGGCAUGCAGUCUUCACCCUGGCACAACUUGAAGCUUAUCACCUAUUGUAGAGAUGAAGCCAUAAACAGAUCAUUUCAGCACAGCAUGAUAAGGGGGAGCUCCAGGGAUCAUGGUAGUACAUGGGCCCAGUCCCUAAUUAAAUCUGGUGGAGUGUGGGCAAAGUUAAGGAAGGCUUCCUAGAGGAGAGGGCAUUGGGGUUGAUCCCUGGCAGGAACAGGGCUCCAGGCAAGGGGAACAAAGACCAGUGACAAUGGAGAACCUUGGAGUAGUCCGGUAUAGAGGAUCAUGAGGGAUGUAUGCAGAGAUGGGAGAGAGAAGAGAGCAGGCACAGGCAGAGGCAAGGCUGUGAAGGGCUUUUAUAUGCCUGGCCAACAAACUUGCAUUUCAUCUUGCAAACAGGGGGGGCCCUUAAGGUUUUAAGCAUUUACCUGACCAGGUCUGCAUUUUAAAUAUAUCACUUUGGUGGUAGCAUGGGGAAUGCAUUAGAGGCCAGCAAGAUUGGAUAUUGAGAGAUCAGUUAGGUUUCUGCAAGUGGUUGUUGGCCUGAGCUAAGAGUGGCCAGGGGAAGGAGAGAGAUCUGAAUUGAUGGAAGAUGCUCAGAUGCUAGAAAUAAAUGGACUUGAUGACUGAUUCCAUGUGAUGGCAGAGGAAAAGCAUGUCAAUGGCAUCCAGAGUGCUUAAACAAUUAAGUUGUGGUGGGAUGGGGAUGUUUUGAGUUGGAACCCGGUAAAAUUAGGUCUAGAGGGAAAAAGAUCCAUGUUCAGUGUGGGCCCAGCAGUUGGUUUUGAGGCACGACUGAAAUACCUAAGUGUUUAAAAUUCUUUCAUAUUGUUUCAUCUUUUUUCCUCUUAAAGAGCACAUUUCUUGAGAAACGCUCUCAAGAAAUGUGUCUCCUUUCAUUAUUUUUAUUUUUUGUUUUGUUUUUGUGUAGUACAGCUAUCAUGGUCCUGUGUAAAGCCAGCUGUGAGACAGACUGUUCAAUAUUUUGGGCAAUGUUUUGAAAAAGAUGGGAUUUGGGAGUAUAUGAAAGAAGGAAAGAGAAAGAAUGUUCCUAGCUCUAGUUGUCCCAUAAGCAUUUCAAUGAAUUAAGUGUAGUAAAUUUCUGUUGUGCAUAGCAAUUAGUAGAUGGAGAGGAGUGAAACAUUUCAGAGACAAAAAGCAUUUAAGAAUAUUUUUGUUUUUAGAAAUUUGAUGAGUUUGGUUACAACAUAUGCUUAAAUGAUUAGUAUCUUCAGGUUUUCAUGUAAUGUUACCUGCAUCUUAUUACUUCAAACAGACAUUCUACAAAUACAGUCAUGCACUGCUUCACGAUGGGGAUAAUUCUGAGAAAUGCUUUGUUAGGUGAUUUCAUUGUUGCAUGAACAUCAUAGAGUGCACUUACACACACCUAGAUGGCAUAGCCUACUACACACCUCGAAUUUGUGGUGUAACCUAUCACUCCUAGCCGACACAGCUGUACAGUGUGUUACUGUACUGAAUACUGUAGGCAGUUGUAAUACAAUGGUAUUUGUGUCUCUAAACAUGUCUAAAUAUAGAAAAGGUACAGUAAAAAUACGGUAUUAUAAUCUUAUGGGAUCACAUAUGCAGUUCAUUAUUGACCAAAAUGUUGCUAUGUGGCACAUGACUAUACUCACUCAGCACCUACUAAGUACUGGGUACUGGGGCAGCGUUGGCCGUAAGUGGAGACCACAGUAGCCAUAGUCCUUCCUUCACAGAGUUUAUAACCCGGCUGUGGAUUAUAAACCCUGAUAUGAUCUUCCUGUCUGCAUCUGCUUAAUAUAAUUAACAUACAUCAUGAGGACAACUUACAACUCGUAAAUCCUGCAAGAGUGAACAUGUAUACCUCCAGAAGGCACUGCCAUAUUCAGAGGUGGAAAAAGAAAGGAAGGAAGGAUUCAGUACUGCCUUGAUUUUUUGCCAGUUGUGUUGGGGCUGGUGGAAUUGUUCCUUAGAGCAGAAACAGGACCAGAUAUGGACUGUAGCUCCUGUUUAUUCCCGAGUGGCUAAGAAAUAAGGGGUUAUCACUUAUUUGCUCAAAAAGAUGAGGACCAAAAAAAUAGAGAUUGAAUAGACAAGUUUUAGAAGAAGUUGGAAACUGGUACUUCCUUGACAUUUUCAUUUUGAAAACCUUGAAACCCACUGAGAAGCUGAAGUAAUGCAGACUUAAUUGUAAAACCAAAUGGGAUAAUUUUUUCAGCAAAGCACAAUACAUUAUUUCUGUAAUUUUUUAUUUUUUUCUAAUUUUUUAUUUUAUUUAUUUAUUUUUUGAGAUAGAGUCUCGCUCUUGUUGCCCAGGUUGGAGUGCAAUGGCGUGAUCUAGGCUCACUGCAACCUCCACCUCCCGGGUUCAAGCACUUCUGCUUCAGCCUCCCAAGUAGCUGGGAUUACAGGCAUGCGCCACCAUGCACCUGGCUAGUUUCGUAUUUUUAGUAGAGAUGGGGUUUCACCAUGUUGGUCAGGCUGGUCUCAAACUCCUGACCUCGUGUGAUCCACCCUCCUUGGCCUCCCAGAGUGAGCCAUGGUGCCUGGCCUAUUUCUGUAUUUUUUCUGUGCCCAGUCUUACCUCUGUUCCUCAUUUUUAAGGGAAUGAUAGCCUUUCUCCUAUCUAGCUAGUCCUUUGCUUUCUCUUUCCCGUUUUCCUCUGGUAUCUUAACUCUUUCUAUAUCUUAAAAUUCUCCCUCUUCACUUAAUUUCUUUUCCUUACUUGCUUCCAUUCUAAAAUAUCCCCUCUAGACCUACUCUCUUUCUGUGCUCCACCGGGAGCAUUUGUGUCCUUAACUGAGCUUUUAGAAAAAAGUCAAUAGAAAGGUGUCUUUCUAUUGGUUUUCCCAUUCUCAUUUCUCAUUCAUCCCCGUGCCAUCAGGUUUUCUUUCUUUUUUUUUUUUUUUUUUUUUUGAGAUGGAGUCUCACUCUGUCGCCCAGGCUGGAAUGCAGUGGCGUGAUCUCAGCUCACUUUAACCUCUGCCUCCCGGGUUCAAGCGAUUCUCCUGCCUCAGCUUCCCGAGUAGCUGGGAUUACAGGCACCUGCCACCACGCCCUGCUAAUUUUGAUAUUUUUAAUAGAGAUGGGGUUUUGCCACAUUAGCCAGGCUCUUCUCGAACUCCUGACCUCAAGUGAUCUGCCUGCCUUGGCCUCCCAGGGUGCUAAGAUUACUGGCAUGAGCCACCACACCCAGCCUGGUUUUCUUAGUUUGCUGAAGGCCUAUUUGCCAACUCUGAUGGUUUUCAGUCCUCAUCCUGCUUGCUCUCUCUGUGCAGGGAACAGUGUCACUCGUUCCUGGGUUCCUCCUUGGCCCCUGCCUGUGUUGCUUUUGCUGGCCACCUCGUUUGGUGUAUCCCUCAAAGGUAGCUCCUCUCUGCAGCUCCACCUCCCACCUCAGUGCUCUCCUUGGCCCAAGCCUGGGUAUGGAGAGCUCAGCUGUCUACCAGGACAGCUCCUGAUUGCCCCUCCUCUGGCUCCUCUGCCCUGAGCCUGUCUCUCUCUAUACCCUCCUCCUCAUCAUGUUUUGGGUCAUGGCAUCACUCUUGCCCCAGUUACCCAAUCAGUACAUGUUCCUCUUCAUCAGGUUGGGUCAAUUCUGCCUUCUAGCCCCCUCAAAGCUCACACCUGGGUCUGUUCCACCAUCAGCGAUACUUGAACAAAGGGCUGGGGACCCAGGGUUGAGGAAUCAACGUCUCCAUACCUAGAAAGGCCACAGUCCACAGUGCAACUCCAAGUGUGCUCCAUAGACUGACAGCCCACAUAUAUUUUUUAAAAAAUAGGCUUAAUUUUUAGAGCAGUUUUUGGUUCAUAGUAAAAUUGAGCAGAAGGUACAAAAGUUUCCCACAUACCUGCUACCCCCACACAUACACAGCUUCUCUCAUCGACAUCCCACACCAGAAUGGUGCGUUUGUUACAAUUGCUGAACCUACAUUAACACAUCAUUAUCACCCAAAGUCCAUAGUUUACAUUAGGGUUCACAGUUCAUGUUGUACAUUCUAUGGGUUUGGACAAAGCUAUAAUGACAUGUUUCUACCACUAUAGUAUCAUACAGAGUCAGUUCACCACCCUAAAAAUCUUCUGGGUUCUGCCUGUUCAUCCCUCCCUCUUCCUAACACCUGGCAACAGCUGAUCUUUUCAGUAUAUCCAUAGUUUUGCCUUUCUAAGAAUUGCAUAUAAUUGGAAUCAUGUAGUAUGUAGCCUUUUAACACUGGCUUCUUUCACUUAGUCAUAUGUAUUUGUUACCUCCAUAUCAUUUCAUGACUUCAUAACUCAUUUUUUUUAGCACUGAAUAAUAUUCCAUCAUCUGGAUAUACCACAGUUUUUUUUACCCAUUCACCUACUAAAGAACAUGGUUGCCUCCAUGUUCUGGCAAUUAUGAAUGAAGCUAUUGUAAACCUGUGUGCAGGUUCUUGGGUCGACAUAAAUUUUCACCUCCUUUGGGUAAAUACCGAAGAAUGUGAUAAUGUGAUUGCUAGAUCAAACAUUAAAAUUAUGCUUAGGUUUGUUAGAAGCUGCCAAACUUUCAUAGUGACUGGACCAUUUUGCAUUUCCACCAGCAAUGAAUGAGAGUUACUGUUUCUUCACAUCCAUGUCAGCGUUUGGUGUUGUCAGUGUUCUGGCUUUUGGCUAUUUUAAUAGGUGUGUAGUGGCCUCUCAUUUGCAUUUCCCUAAGGACAUAUAAUGGGGAGCAUUAUAUGCCUAUUUGCCAUUUGUAUUUCUUCUUUUUGAAAAAUUAAUUUUGAUAAGAAAUACUUAACAUAAGAUCUAACCUCUUAACAAAUGUUAAAGUGUACAAUGUACACAGUUAACACUCUGUUGUUAACUAUAGAGACAAUGCUGUACAUUGGAUCUCCAGAUCCACAUCUUGCAUAAUUGAGACUUUAUGUGUGAUGAUUGAGCAGCUUCCCAUUCCCCCAUCCCGAUUCCCUGGCAAGCAUAAUUCUGCUCUCUGAUUUGAUGAGUUUACUAUUCUGGGUACCUCAUAUAAGUGGAGUCAUGUAGUAUUUGUCUUUCCAUGACUGGCUUAUUUCACUUAGCAUAAUGACCUCAAGGUUCAUCCAUGUUGUAGCACGUGUCGGAAUGUCCUUCUUUUUUCAGGCUAAAUAAUAUCCCACUGUAUGUAUAUGCCACCAUUUAAAUAAUCCAUUCAUCUGCCAAAGAACAUCAGGUUGUUGUCGCCACUUCUUGACUACUGUGAGUAGUGCUGCAGUGAGCAUUGGAGUGCUAAUAUCUGUUUGAGAUCCUGAUUUCAAUGGUUUUAGAUUGGAUUGCUGCAUCAUACAGUAUUUUUAUUUUUAAUUUUCUGAGAAAUUUUUAUACUGUUUUCCAUAGUGGCUGCAUCAUUUUGUAUUCUCAUCAAUAGUACAAGGUUUCCCAUUUCUCCACAUCCUUACCAACAUGCUUUUUUAUUUUUUUUUUGAUAAUAGCCAUUAUCUAAACAGGUGUGAGGUAGUAUCUCAUGGUUUUGACUUGCACUUCUCUGAUGAUUAGUGUGAUGUUGAGUAUUUUUCAUAUACAUGUUGGCCAUUUUUGUCUUCUUUGAAGAAAUGUCUAUUCGAGUCCAGGCCCAUUUUUACGUUGGAUUAUUAGUGUUUUUGCUAUUGAGUUGCAGGAGUUUAUUUAAUUUCUGAAAUUAGAUAUUACCACAUAGGCUGGGCGUGGUGGCUCACACCUGUAAUCCCAGCAAUUUGGGAGGCUGAGGUGGGAGGAUCACUUGAGGUCAGGAGUUCAAGACCAGCCUGGCCAAAAUGGUGAAACCCCAUCUCUACUAAAAAUACAAAAAAAUUAGCUGGGCAUGGUGCUGCACGGCUGUGGUCCCAGCUACUGAAGAGGCUGAGGCAGAAGAAUCGCUUGAACCUGGGAGGUGGAGGUUGCAGUGAGCCGAGUUCAUGCCACUGCACUCCAGCCUAGGCAACAGAGCAAGACUCCGUUUCACAAAAAAAAAAAAAAAAAAAAAAAAAAUGACCAUAUAUGUGUGGGAUGAUUUUCCAUCCAUAUUAUAUCUUCUUUGGUGAGAUGUCUGUUAAGGCAUUUGGCACACCCCCACUUUUUUUUUGAGAGAGGGUCUCACUCUGUCACCAAAGCUGGAAUGCAGUGGUGUGAUCACUGCUUACUGCAGCCUCUACUUUCCAGACUCAAGCAAUCCUCUGCCUCAGCCUCCUGAGUAGCUGGGACCACGGGUGCGUGCCAUCACACCUGGAUAAUUUAAUUUCUGAAAUUAAAUAAUAAAUCUUUAAUUUCUGAAAUUAACUUCUUAUCUGACAUAUGGUUUGCAAAUAUUCCCUCCCAUUCCUUAGGUUGCUUUUUCACUCUGUUGAUUGUUUCCUUUGCUGUGGAAAAGCUUCUUAGUUUGAUGGACUCCCACUUGUCUAUUUUUGUUUUUGCUGCCUGUGCUUUUGGUGUUAUAUCCAUGAAGUCAUUGCCAAGACCAAUGUCUUGAUACUUUUCUACUAUGUUUUCUUCUAGCAGUUUUACAUUUUCAGGUCUUACAUUUAAGUCUUUAAUCAAUUUCAAUUAAUUUUUGUUUAUGGUAUAAGGGUCCAGUUUCAUUCUAUUGCAUGUGGAUAUCCAGUUUUCCCAAUACCAUUUGUUGAAGAGACUGCCUUUUCCCUAUUGCGUAUACUUGGCGCCCUUGUCGAAGAUCAGUCGACCAUAUAUUUGUGGGAUGAUUUUCCAUCUGUAUGUCUUCUUUGGUGAGAUGUCUGUUAAGGCAUUUAGCCUCCCCCCCAACAUCUUUUUUUUUUUUUUUUUUUUUUGAGACAGGGUCUGACUGUCAGCAAAGCUAAAAGUGCAGUGGUACAAUCACUGCUUACUGCAGCCUCUACCUCCCGGGCUCAAGCAACCCGUUUCCUCAGCCUCCAGAGUAGCUAGAACCACAGGCACACACCACCAUGCCUGGUUAAAUUUUUUAAAUUUGUUUGUAGAGAUGGGAUUUCCCCAUGUUCCCAGACCGAUCUCGAACACCUGGCUUCAAGUAAUCCUCCUGCCUCAGCCUCCCAAUCUGCUGGGAUUACAAGCAUGGGCCACCAUACACAACUUGGCCCAUUUUUAAAAUCAGGUUGCUUGUUUUCCUAUUUUUAAGUUUAAGAGUUCUUUGUGUAUUUUGUAUAACAGUCCUUUAUCAGAUAUAUCUUUUCCAAAUAUUUUUUCUCAGUCCCUGG